ensembl:snRNA U2 U2 spliceosomal RNA
AUCGCUUCUCGGCCUUUUGGCUAAGAUCAAGUGUAGUAUCUGUUCUUAUCAGUUUAAUAUCUGAUACGCCCCCGAUUCGGGGCAACGAUAAACGCAUUUUUAGAACAGGGAGCUGAAUAAGGGGCUCGCCCGUUCGCUCCACGCAUCGACCCGGUAUUGCAGCGCCCGGGAACGGUGCCCCUUUG